CAUGGAUAACUGUGGUAAUUCUAGAGCUAAUACAUGCACAAAAGCCGCGACUUUUCUUGAAGAAGCGGUGCGUUUAUUAGACCAAGACCAAUGGGUGCUUGCACCCUAAAUUUAUGGUGACUCUGGAUAACUAAUGGCCUAAAAACCAUGAUGCUGACCCUAUGGCCCGUGGGCAACCACACAGAGCCGAGGGCAAAUCAUUCGAGUGUCUGAUCUAUCAACUGUCGAUGGUAAAUUAUAUGUUUACCAUGGUUGUAACGGGUAACGGGGAGUUAGGGCUCGACUCCGGAGAGCAAGCCUGAGAAACGGCUAGCACAUCCAAGGAAGGCAGCAGGCGCGCAAAUUACUCAAUGCUAGCAUUUUAGCGAAGUAGUGAAGAAAAAUAACGAUGUAGGUUCUUUUUACAGGAUCUACAAUUGGAAUGAGUACACCGUAAAUACGUUAACGAGUACCAAUUGGAGGGCAAGUCUGGUGCCAGCAGCCGCGGUAAUUCCAGCUCCAAUAGCGUAUAUUAAAGUUGCUGCGGUUAAAAAGCUCGUAGUUGGAUUUCAGACCUAUUGUUAGCAAAGCUGCACUAUUCAACGUCUAUCGGUUUGGACAUGCAUGUGUACGCAGCACUUUGUGUGUUUGUGUUUAUGCAUCAUGAUUUCAAGUCAUAGUCGGGUGUUAGCUAUUUGUUAGCUGGUCGUUUCGUCACUUUUUAACAGGACGAAGCAAGCUGUAUCAUUGGUUCAGUACACAAUCCUACACUUUACGUGUAUGGUGUACACUACGAUGGUCAGCAUGUUUACCUUGAGAAAAUUAGAGUGCUCAAAGCAGACAUCGCGGGUCGCAAGGCUUGCAUUUAUGUUUGAAUAAUGUUGCAUGGAAUAAUAGAAUAUGGCCUCGGUUCUAUUCUGUUGGUCUUGUAGAACAACAAACAAGUUCACGUGUUCAAAUCAUGUUGUUAGUUUGGUGUGGAUUAUUGUGUUUGUAUGAUGUGUGUUUGUUUUGAUUUUGUGUUACCGUAUUUGCGUUCAUCCGUGGACCAGAUACGUGUCGCGAAUUAAGCAAAUUUUACUCAUCAUACACACGUUAUCCUACUAAAAGCCAAACUAGCUAACACGAACACGUGAAUCGAGGCAAUGGUUAAUAGGGACAGACGGGGGCAUUCGUACUGCUUCGCUAGAGGUGAAAUUCUUAGACCGAAGCAAGACGAACUAAAGCGAAAGCAUUUGCCUAGAAUGUUCUCAUUAAUCAAGAACGAAAGUUAGAGGUUCGAAGGCGAUCAGAUACCGCCCUAGUUCUAACCAUAAACGAUGCCAACUAGCAAUCAGGCUGAGUUUUUUAAAAUACAAAUGACUCGCCUGGCGGCUUCGCGGGAAACCAAAGUUUUUCGGUUCCGGGGGAAGUAUGAUUGCAAAGUUGAAACUUAAAGGAAUUGACGGAAGGGCACCACCAGGGGUGGAGCCUGCGGCUUAAUUUGACUCAACACGGGGAAACUUACUAGAUUAGAACGCUGGAAUGAUUGACAGAUUAAUAGCUCUUUCUUGAUUCAGCGAGUGGUGGUGCAUGGCCGUUCUUGAUUCGUAGAAUGAUUCGUCUGCUUAAUUGCGAUAACGAGUGAGACCUCGACCUACUAACUAGUUUCGUUCAUCAUUUGGGAUAUAAAACGCCUUGCGUGUUUCGGCUUGUGCUGCGUGUAGCAAUACGCGUUGGUGCAAGUUGCGCGUAAGGUAGGCCCUCUGCUGGACGAAGACUUCUUAGCGGGAUAAACGGUGUUUUAGCCGUAAUAAAUGAGGCAAUAACAGGUCUGUGAUGCCCUUAGAUACUCUAGGCCGCACGCGUGCUACACUGGUAGAGGCAGCAUGCUUAAUUUAAACAAUUGCUUCGGAAUUCUGGUUGCUUUUCAGCCAUUGCGCGCGCACGUUGUGAGGGUUUCGGCCUGACCAGUGUGUGUGUGUGUGUGGUUGUUAGUGGCAAAGAGCCGAGGAUUUAUUGUUUGAAAAAACCUUGGCUGAAAAGCCUGGGCAAUCCUUUGAAACUCUACCGUGAUUUGGGAUUGGGAAUUGCAAUUGUUUUCCAUGAACGAGGAAUCCCCAGUAAGCGCAAU
rnacentral:rRNA from 1 species